CCAUGUAUUUGGUGUUUGUUAUUAGUGCUUCAACCUGAGGGGCGUGGCAGCACCCCUAGUUCCAGCACCACUGGAGGUAGGUUUACCCUCAUAACAAAUGUUAGCUAGAUGCUUAGAGGCCAUCGUGGGCAGGGGAGGUCUAUCCGUCCAAAGAGAGAGACAGCUGAGAUAAGGCACUGUGAUAAAAAGCCCCAGUAAAAACUGUCAUUCAGCAAACUUCUGAGAAAGAUCACACCAGGAUAAAGUAGCUGCGGUUUUCUUGCCUGGUUGCAGAAGGCAGUGGCCACCAUGAAGCAGCUCAUCUCCCACCUUCUGGGCUUUUGCUGGCUCGUCUGCUUCAAGGGGACUCAAUGUUUCACCAGCGAUGUCGACAGAUGUCAGGAUUCGACUACUUGUCCUGCGUUUGCAAAAUGUGAAAAUGUUCCUGGGGGCUACCACUGCACCUGCAAACGCGGGUUUGCAUCUACUUCUGGGGAGCAAAACUUCACUGAUCCAACAGUGAAGU